rnacentral:rRNA from 37 species
UUAAAUUGAAGAGUUUGAUCAUGGCUCAGAUUGAACGCUGGCGGCAGGCCUAACACAUGCAAGUCGAA